rnacentral:rRNA from 1 species
GACGAACGCUGGCGGCGUGCUUAACACAUGCAAGUCGAACGGAAAGGCCCUGCUUUUGUGGGGUGCUCGAGUGGCGAACGGGUGAGUAACACGUGAGUAACCUGCCCUUGACUGUGGGAUAACUUCAGGAAACUGGGGCUAAUACCGGAUAGGAGCUCCUGCUGCAUGGUGGGGGUUGGAAAGUUUCGGCGGGUGGGGAUGGACUCGCGGCUUAUCAGCUUGUUGGUGGGGUAGUGGCUUACCAAGGCUUUGACGGGUAGCCGGCCUGAGAGGGUGACCGGCCACAUUGGGACUGAGAUACGGCCCAGACUCCUACGGGAGGCAGCAGUGGGGAAUAUUGCACAAUGGGCGGAAGCCUGAUGCAGCAACGCCGCGGGCGGGAUGACGGCCUUCGGGUUGUAAACCGCUUUCGCCUGUGACGAAGCGUGAGUGACGGUAAUGGGUAAAGAAGCACCGGCUAACUACGUG